rnacentral:rRNA from 1 species
GAUGAACGCUGGCGGCGUGCCUAAUACAUGCAAGUCGAGCGAACAGAUGAGGAGCUUGCUCCUCUGACGUUAGCGGCGGACGGGUGAGUAACACGUGGAUAACCUACCUAUAAGACUGGGAUAACUUCGGGAAACCGGAGCUAAUACCGGAUAAUAUAUUGAACCGCAUGGUUCAAUAGUGAAAGACGGUUUUGCUGUCACUUAUAGAUGGAUCCGCGCCGCAUUAGCUAGUUGGUAAGGUAACGGCUUACCAAGGCAACGAUGCGUAGCCGACCUGAGAGGGUGAUCCGCCAAAAUGGAACUGAGACACGGUCCAGACUCCUACGGGAGGCAGCAGUAGGGAAUUUUCCGGAAUGGGCGAAAGCCUGACGGAGCAACGCCGCGUGAGUGAUGAAGGUCUUCGGAUCGUAAAACUCUGUUAUUAGGGAAGAACAAAUGUGUAAGUAAAUAUGCACGUCUUGACGGUACCUAAUCAGAAAGCCACGGCUAACUACGUG